rnacentral:rRNA from 1 species
AGAGUUUGAUCCUGGCUCAGAACGAACGCUGGCGGCAUGGUUAAGGCAUGCAAGUCGAACGGAUCUUACACAGGAGUAAUCCAGUGUAAGGUUAGUGGCGAACGGGCGAGUAAUGCAUGGGUAACGUACCCCGGACUCAGGAAUAGCUGCUCGAAAGGGCAGGUAAUACUUGAUGAUGUUCCCUGGUCGCAUGGCCAGGUUACCAAAGGUCCGCCGGUCUGGGAGCGGCCCAUGUCCUAUCAGGUAGUUGGUGGGGUAAUAGCCUACCAAGCCUUCGACGGGUAGCGGGACUGAGAGGUCGGCCCGCCGCAUCGGGACUGAGAUACUGCCCGGACACCUACGGGUGGCUGCAGCAUCGAAUAUUGGACAAUGAGCGCAAGCUUGAUCCAGCAAUGCCGCGUGCAGGAUGAAACCCCUCGGGGUGUAAACUGCUGUCAGGGUUAUGAAAUGCCUGUUUAGGCAGGUUUGAUCUACCCCAAAGGAAGUCUCGGCUAACUCCGUGCCAGCAGCCGCGGUAAGACGGAGGAGGCAAGCGUUGUUCGGAAUUACUGGGCUUAAAGCGCGUGUAGGCGGGCCGUUAAGUAUCUUGUGAAAGCCCUCGGCUCAACCGAGGAAUUGCUGGGUAUACUGGCGGUCUUGAGGCAGGUAGAGGCGAGCGGAACUCUUGGUGGAGCGGUGAAAUGCGUAGAUAUCAAGGGGAACGCCGGUGGCGAAAGCGGCUCGCUGGGCCUGUUCUGACGCUGAGACGCGAAAGCGUAGGGAGCGAACGGGAUUAGAUACCCCGGUAGUCUACGCCGUAAACGAUGCGCACUAGGUAUAGGGGCCUCUGACGGUUUCUGUGCCGUAGCAAAAGUGUUAAGUGCGCCGCCUGGGGAGUACGGCCGCAAGGCUAAAACUCAAAGGAAUUGACGGGGGCUCACACAAGCGGUGGAGCAUGUGGCUUAAUUCGAAACAACGCGAAGAACCCUACCCAGGUUUGACAUGCUUGGAUGCCCUUGUGGAAACACAAGUAAGCUGCCCUUUUAGGGUGAAACUUGCACAGGUGCUGCAUGGCUGUCGUCAGCUCGUGCUGUGAAGUGUUGGGUUAAGUCCCGUAACGAGCGAAACCCUUGUCGUUAGUUGCCAGCGGUUCGGCCGGGCACUCUAGCGAGACUGCCGGUGUUAAACCGGAGGAAGGCGGGGAUGACGUCAAGUCCUCAUGGCCCUUAUGCCUGGGGUUGCACACGUGCUACAAUGGGGCGUACAGAGCGACGCGAACUCGCGAGAGUAAGCAAAUCGCAGAAAGCGCUCCUCAGUUCGGAUUGGAGUCUGCAACUCGACUCCAUGAAGUUGGAAUCGCUAGUAACCGCGUAUCAGCAAUGACGCGGUGAAUAUGUUCCUGAGCCUUGUACACACCGCCCGUCAAGUCAUGGAAGCUGGGAGUACCCGAAGUCCGUUAUGCCAACCGUAAGGAGGCGACGGCCGACGGUAAGCUUGGUGACUGGGACUAAGUCGGAACAAGGUA